rnacentral:misc_RNA from 1 species
GAUGAAGAACGCAGCGAAAUGCGAUAAGUAGUGUGAAUUGCAGAAUUCAGUGAAUCAUCGAAUCUUUGAACGCACAUUGCGCCCCUUGGUAUUCCAUGGGGCAUGCCUGUUCGAGCGUCAUUACACACCUCAAGCUCUGCUUGGUAUUGGGCGUCGUCCCCUAAACGGGACGUGCCUCAAAGACCUCGGCGGUGGCGUCUUUGCCUCAAGCGUAGUAAUCUUUUUAUCUCGCUUUGGAGUCGAAGGCGUCGCCCGCCGGACGAAACCUUUAUUUUUCUAUCAAGGUUGACCUCGGAUCAGGUAGGGAUACCCGCUGAACUUAAGCAUAUCAAUAAGCGGAGGA